rnacentral:tRNA from 1 species
GCCCUUAUGGCGUAGUGGUAGCGCGUCGCUCUUGUAAAUUGCUAGUGAAGCGAAGGUCGUUGGUUCAAAUCCGGCUGGGGGCA